rnacentral:rRNA from 1 species
UACGUAGGCAGCAAGCGUUGUUCGGAGUUACUGGGCGUAAAGGGUGUGUAGGCGGUCUUCUAAGUUUGGUGUGAAAUCUCCCGGCUCAACUGGGAGGGUGCGCCGAAAACUGGGAGGCUAGAGUACUGGAUGGGAGAGUGGAAUUCCUGGUGUAGCGGUGAAAUGCGUAGAUAUCAGGAGGAACACCUGUGGUGUAGACGGCUCUCUGGACAGUAACUGACGCUGAGACACGAAAAGCGUGGGUAGCAAACAGG